AGUGAACGCUGGCGGUAGGCCUAACACAUGCAAGUCGAACGGAAGCACAGUGAGAGUUCGCUCUUAAGGGUAGCGGGUGGCGGACGGGUGAGGAAUGCAUAGGAAACUAAUUAUACGGGGGGGAUAACGUGGGGAAAGAUAUGAUAACACAGAAUAUGACGUACGGGAGGAAGCAAGAGAGAUAGGGAGCUUGGGUGAUAGAAAGAGACGGAGUCGGAUUAGCUAGUUGGCGGGGUAACGGCACACCAAGGCAACGCUACGUAGCCGAGCUGAGAGGAUGAUCGGCCACACUGGAACUGAGACACGGUCCAGACUCCUACGGGAGGCAGCAGUAGGGAAUCUUCCGCAAUGGGCGCAAGCCUGACCCAGCCAUGCCGCGUGAGUGAUGAAGGCCUUCGGAUCGUAAAACUCUGUUAUUAGGGAAGAACAACUGUGUAUGUAACUCUGCCCGUCUUGACGGUACCUAAUCAGAAAGCCACGGCUAACUACGUG
rnacentral:rRNA from 1 species